CCCCUGUCGGUGGAGCUGUGGUUUAAUUCGAAGCAACGCGAAGAACCUUACCAGGUCUUGACAUCCUCUGAAAACCCUAGAGAUAGGGCUUCUCCUUCGGGAGCAGAGUGACAGGUGGUGCAUGGUUGUCGUCAGCUCGUGUCGUGAGAUGUUGGGUUAAGUCCCGCAACGAGCGCAACCCUUGAUCUUAGUUGCCAUCAUUAAGUUGGGCACUCUAAGGUGACUGCCGGUGACAAACCGGAGGAAGGUGGGGAUGACGUCAAAUCAUCAUGCCCCUUAUGACCUGGGCUACACACGUGCUACAAUGGACGGUACAAAGAGCUGCAAGACCGCGAGGUGGAGCUAAUCUCAUAAAACCGUUCUCAGUUCGGAUUGUAGGCUGCAACUCGCCUACAUGAAGCUGGAAUCGCUAGUAAUCGCGGAUCAGCAUGCCGCGGUGAAUACGUUCCCGGGCGGGGGAAAUCCCGAAAA
rnacentral:rRNA from 1 species